rnacentral:rRNA from 1 species
GAAUGCUGACAUAAGUAACGAUAAAGCGGGUGAAAAGCCCGCUCGCCGGAAGACCAAGGGUUCCUGUCCAACGUUAAUCGGGGCAGGGUGAGUCGACCCCUAAGGCGAGGCCGAAAGGCGUAGUCGAUGGGAAACGGGUUAAUAUUCCCGUACUUGGUGUUACUGCGAAGGGGGGACGGAGAAGGCUAUGUUGGCCGGGCGACGGUUGUCCCGGUUUAAGCGUGUAGGUGUGUGUUCCAGGUAAAUCCGGUUCACUUUAACACUGAGGCGUGACGACGAGGCACUACGGUGCUGAAGCAACAAAUGCCCUGCUUCCAGGAAAAGCCUCUAAGCAUCAGGUAACAUCAAAUCGUACCCCAAACCGACACAGGUGGUCAGGUAGAGAAUACCAAGGCGCUUGAGAGAACUCGGGUGAAGGAACUAGGCAAAAUGGUGCCGUAACUUCGGGAGAAGGCACGCUGACACGUAGGUGAAGUGAUUUACUCAUGGAGCUGAAGUCAGUCGAAGAUACCAGCUGGCUGCAACUGUUUAUUAAAAACACAGCACUGUGCAAACACGAAAGUGGACGUAUACGGUGUGACGCCUGCCCGGUGCCGGAAGGUUAAUUGAUGGGGUCAGCGCAAGCGAAGCUCCUGAUCGAAGCCCCGGUAAACGGCGGCCGUAACUAUAACGGUCCUAAGGUAGCGAAAUUCCUUGUCGGGUAAGUUCCGACCUGCACGAAUGGCGUAAUGAUGGCCAGGCUGUCUCCACCCGAGACUCAGUGAAAUUGAACUCGCUGUGAAGAUGCAGUGUACCCGCGGCAAGACGGAAAGACCCCGUGAACCUUUACUAUAGCUUGACACUGAACAUUGAGCCUUGAUGUGUAGGAUAGGUGGGAGGCUUUGAAGUGUGGACGCCAGUCUGCAUGGAGCCGACCUUGAAAUACCACCCUUUAAUGUUUGAUGUUCUAACGUGGACCCGUUACCCGGGUUGCGGACAGUGUCUGGUGGGUAGUUUGACUGGGGCGGUCUCCUCCUAAAGAGUAACGGAGGAGCACGAAGGUUGGCUAAUCCUGGUCGGACAUCAGGAGGUUAGUGCAAUG